ACCGCUGUAGGACCUGUUUGCCUGGAAACUGAGCACAUGGAUAUGCUUUCACGUCGUUGAAACUUCCUGGGUUCCUAUAGCAUAUGGUGUGCAACAGGACGGAGAGGUUAUCAUAUGAUGCUUCGAACAUAUCCCACUUCAUCUCCAGUGCCUUCUGCUUCGCUCGGUAAGUUUUUUUGUAGCUAAUCUUAUACUUGAACUUCUCCUCUAUGGCAGAAACAAUGGACUUGGGCUCGAAACUAGAAUUUUGCACUAUUUGAGGAUACAUGUAUUGAGCAACAAAAUAAGUACUGAGGUUGCGGUAUGUUCCUUCCAAUUCGUCCAGCAAGCAUUGGUGCUCAACCACUCUAGUCACCUCCCAGUAAUCCUUCCACUUUCUCUUGUAUGCGUGCACCCUGAACGGGCAAUCAUUUCUCACACAGCGGACAUCAUACGCCGCUGGGUUGCUCUUCUCCACCCUAAACUAACACUGCAAAGAUAAAGUGGACCAUCUCUUCACUACUGCCUUCACCCCAUCCCCACAAGGGUACAAAACACCCACACAUACCUCAUUCUCCCUAUAGUCCCAAGGGAUAUUUUUUCCCUACGUUGACCUGUACGGCGGAAUGGUCAUAAGUUGACCAGUUCCACAGGACAGGGUAAGCAUCUUCCUCAUCCAACAAGUCAUCAUCAAUGGCAACAUUGGCCUCCUCUCCUUCCCUCUCCACCUGCUCAACUAGCUCAACAAUUUCUUCCCCCUCAUCAGCCUCCCCAUUUGGCUCACGGGCUGCAACAUCAUCCUCUGCAUCUCCCCCUUCUGCCCUGUCAUUAUUAAGUUCUGCAUUUGCCCCAUCAGUACCCUCCACAUCUUCCUUCGCUUCAACUUUACCACCUCCCACAUCUCCUUCCAUCUAAUUGCUAGAUCUAGCCUUCAUGAACUGUUGAACAUACCAUAUGAGUGGUAAACUGCGCCUCGUGCAACCCUUUACAUAAGCUCGGUAGCUCGGGGUUCCUUCAAGCGGGAGCAGCUCCCAAAAGUUUAUGUUGGGCCGUCUCUUCACUACAACCCUCAUAGACACUUCCACUUGAUUUCUAUCAACACCGAAAUUCUUACAAAGCCACCUGCAUAUGCCCCCUCCAAGUCCUCUCUCUUGCUCUUGGUAAAUACUUGCAGAAAUAUGGAAAUCCACUCAAAUCUACCCCUUUUGGACCAUAUCUAACCUCCCCCGGACCAUAGAAGACUUGGAAAUAUAAACUAUCUGACAUGCCUGCCAACAUACACGAAAUGAGAAGUCCAAAUUACUCUCAAUAACUUAAAUCAGUUAACUAGAAUGACACCUUCAUUUCAAUAAACAGUGGAAACAUUUAAUUCUAUCAUCCACACUAACAACUACUUAAGAGUAAACCAACCUUACAAAUUAAAUUUAUCAUAGGCAUCUACCCAGGAUAAUAUACGUGACAAGUAUAAAGGUUCUCACUAAAACUAAUAAUUCCAACUACCCCUAUAACAACUAUAUUGUCAAUACGUAAACAAAAUAUAACCGUCACAAUGCAAAUAAUAUUCAUCUAAAUUUAAUAUACAUAAAUCAACAAAUAAAAUUUACUGUGAACUAAAUACCUAAGCUAAAUCCACUAUACUAACUAAGCUACAUUUUCCUAUGUCUAAAAUCCGCUAGAUUUUUUCUAAGUUUCAGAUCCACUAAACUAACUACUAGAUCUAUAUACUACUAAAUCAAUCCACUACACUAUCUACAUUAACUAACCUACGGGAUUUAAAAAAAAUACCUAAAAUGAAGCGACGCCCAAAACUUCUAUCUUUCCUUCCCCCUCCCUCUCCUCUCCCUCGGUCUCCCGCUGGCUCCCUUGCUCGGUUUGGCGUUGGUGCCUGGAGUGUGGGCGUGCGCCCUAUUUAUAAUGGGAAGGCCCCCCUCCCC
rnacentral:lncRNA from 1 species